rnacentral:tRNA from 1 species
GCUGGGGCUCAGUGGUAGAGCGCUUGCCCUGCAUAUGGGAGGCACUGGGUUCAAUUCUCAGCACCGCA